ensembl:lincRNA Gm37565 predicted gene, 37565
GUACUGCCACAGUCUUCUUCCCCCUACAGCAGGCAUCUCUCUCUCCUCUCUCUCUCUCUCUCUCUCUCUCUCUCUCUCUCUCUCUCUCUCUCUCCAUGCCCUGAACUUUUACAAAAGUCUUAAUCAUAGCAACACUCACUGUUGCCUACAUACCAGUGAUAAUGUGUGUUCUGUUCCAGAUUUUUAUUUAUUUAGACAUCCUCAGGACGGAGACAGAACAGGCUUUCUAUUUCCUUGACAUCAAGAGUCCCAGUUAUGACCUGAAGUUCACAGUGCAUCUCUCCAUCAGAUUUCACAUGGCUACCCUAGAGGCCCAUGAACACCGGUGAUCAGGAGACCUGGAGAACAACCAGGAGAAUUUAAUUAGAUCACAAUGAGAUAAGCAAGGACUUUUAAAGUUCAGCAUCAAACAGGACCCAGGUGAGAACUCUCCCAGCUCCAGCGCACAGAGGAAAAGCUUGGGUCGUCAUUUCAGUGUCCUACCAGAGAGG